AUAUAUAUAUGCAUGAAACUGAGAUUGCUAGCAUCAUUUACACAAGAUACACCCUUUGAAUUGAAUUGAUUGGUUCAGUUUCGUAUAUUCUUCACCCAACCUUCUAUCAUGCUUGUAACUAGUGCUCUGCUCAUGUUGUUAGACAGGAUUUUCACUUCCUGCCAUCCCAGCCUUCUAUCAUGCUUACAAGAUUUUUCUUUGCACGACAGUAGCACCAGUACCUUGCUGCUGUUGGGAACGGAAGGGAGCUGUUCCAUGGACUGAAUCUGGGGAGAAAAUCACUUUCGGCAUGUACACCAUCACCUUGGGCGUGCUUGCGGCGCUGCUGCUCGGCCUCAACAUGUCCUGGAGUGCCAUUAGCGCCGCCCUCACGCUCAUCUUCCUCGACUUCAAGGACGCUCGCCCCUGCCUCGAGAAGCUGUGGGUUAAUGUUGGUGGUUUUGUUCUACUUGGAUGCAUUGGUACCCAUCAUCGAGCGAACGGAUGCAACAGCGGCAAGAAGCUCAUGGCUGUGUGCAUCUAAAGCACACCAUGGACACCAUCCACUUCCUCAUCAAUGCUAACUCAAUCCAGAUCAUCGUCGACACUAUCAUCCACAGGAUGACAGAGGAAGCCAUGUUGCUGUUUUGUUUGGUCUCAGCCCUGACUAUCGCCGUCGAGCGAGUCCGGCGUGUUGUUCAUCUGACUAUGGUUCCAGCCCUGACUACCGAAGUUUUUGUCCUGUUGAAGUUGCAUAGAAAUAUGAGAGAGUCCAGCGAUUCCAGUGUGUUGUUCAUGAUAGGAGCUUGUGAAGUAGUACUAUAUUACACUUGUAGAGCUUGUAAAGUAUUGUAUUAUACAUGGCCCUUUGUAAUGGCACGGAUAGAGCUUGUAUUAUGUGAUCUAGUUGCUCUUGUUUAAGUAUUAUGUGUGUUUUUU